CCAUGUAAAUAGUAUUGGUAACAUCAUAAAUAGUAUCAGAAUAACAACAGAUUAAAUGAUGCUGUAAUUUAUGUAGGCCACUGCCACUUCCAGAUUGCAUCCGUUUUGUUCAGUUCCCUUAUGGGCUCUUUUGAGGGGUCAAGUGUGUUUUAUUCCUGUACGAUUGUACUCCAUUUGAAUGAGUCAUUUUAUUCAAAACGCAAUAUUUUUGUGCAGUAGAAUUAAAAGUUCCUUUACACAUGUCAUAGGCCAACUCCAUUAUGUCCUAUGGCCCUAUGUUUUCCUAUGUCAUGAUUCUGGCAUUGGCCGUAUCUGUGGCUGGUGGGAAAACAUACCAAGAGUCAGAAUGUUAAGCAAAUCAAAUCUUUAUUAAAACCUUUAUAACAGGUUCAUAAUCCAAAAUUAAACAGAUUUGACAGAUUUAAAAAUAAAAAAUAAGGGCCAUGUGAAUGAUGACAGUGAGACAAAAAGUAGGAAGGAUCCAAAAACAGCAAUGGAGAAAGUGGUCUGGAAACCACAUUUCAUCACAGGUAGCCACAUUCCACACGUAUAGAGACAGGAAGAUAUCGGUAUUCAGUCCCAGUCGGUAAUGACAUAAUAAUAAGGAAUUCCCCGAGACCACGCCCAUAAAUUGGGGAAAACCCGCUGAGAUUCCGAUCAAUGGUUCGCAAUGGUCCCACGUUGGGAAAUCGAGCCUGGGGCUUCAGGCUAUUCGGUGUGGGAAAUGUGGGGACGCGGUGUCCAAGAAGGCUAUACGUAGUAGUGGAAGAUCCAGCCUACCGACGGAGGAGGAGCUGUGACUGCGGACGACGACGAGGUGCCCAUUGAGGUGUUCCAUGGCCUGUCUGUCAGAUGUCUCUACAUCUAUGCUCCCUCCUCUCAAGAUAUUACCUUUCUGAACUGCCUAUCUUCUAAAGUUGACCAUCGCCAACAUACUGACAGAUCCCUACCUUUGUUUUGUUAAAUAGUUUCUGGUUACAUUUUGUUUUCAAAGUGACUUUGAGAUUCUGCUUGUAAUGAAAAGCACUAAAUAAAAUAUAUAUUUUUAUUAUUAUAUAGAACUUACUUUCAAGUAAAACUUAGACUCUUCUCCUAUACCACUUCACACCUUUUCAGUGUUGACUCUGUAACCCCAGCUCUGAUUAUUCUCCCAUGACUUGCUUCUCCCCUCAUAUUUCUCCAUCUCUCUCUCUCUGAAAAAAGAGGGAUGAAGUCACAGGUGGGGGGUUCACACAUCAAGGAGUAGGGGGUGCGUGCGACGGAAUGAGGCAAAGCGGGUGACAUUUUCAAAGGCAGAUAACAUGGAAGUCAUCAUCUGAGUCAAACAAAGACUGGGACCCUAUCUGUGUCAACGCAUAGGUAAAGGUCUCCCGUUUCAGAAUUGACAAUGGAUUUGUGAAUAAGUAAUUAAUAGGUUGAUAACAAUGCGAACAACAUGGUAUUUCAGGGGGACGUUGGAGACUCAUUUGCACAUUGUCUAGUGGUGAGUGACCAGGUGAGCAGGUUAAGAGAGCGACAUUGAUGGCGACUGAAUGUGUUGCUUUUUGAAUCAUUUGUUUGUUGCCAGUAUGUAGACUUUGUCUGUAUACGUGUGUGUGUAUCGCGGUUUUGUCUCACCAGGGGUGAUGGUCAGAUUCAUGUUACAACGAGGAAUGAGUGUUACACCGAGGCCUGUGCUCUGGAGCAGGAUUGAUUUGAAGGUGGAGGGUCCGUCAUGGCCUAGGGCGGUGUGUCACAGCAUCAUCGACUGAGCUUGUUGUCAUUGCAGGCAAUCUCAACGCUGUGCGUUACGGGGAAGACAUCCUCCUCCCUCAUGUGGUACUCUUCCUGCAGGCUCAUCCUGACAUGACCCUCCAGCAUGACAAUGCCACCAGCCAUACUGAUCGUUCUGUGUGGGAUUUCCUGCAAGACAGGAAUGUCAGUGUUCUGCCAUGGCCAGCGAAGAGCCCGGAUCUCAAUCCCAUUGAGAACGUCUGGAACCUGUUGGAUCGGAGGGCUAGGGCCAUUCCCCCCAGAAAUGGGAAAUUGCAGGUGUCUUGGUUGAAGAGUGGGGUAACAUCUCACAGCAUGAACUGGCAAAUCUGAUGCAGUCCAUGAGGAGGAAAUGCACUGCAGUACUUAAUGCAGCUGGUGGCCACACCAGAUACGGACUUACUUUUGAUUUUGACACCCCCUUUGUUCAGGGACACAUAUUCCAUUUUUGUUAGUCACAUGUCUGUGGAACUUGUUCAGUUUAUGUCUUAGUUGUUGAAUCUUGUUAUGUCCAUACAAAUAUUUACACAUGUUAAGUUUGAUGAAAAUAAACGCAGUUGACAGUGA